rnacentral:rRNA from 1 species
GAUGAACGCUGGCGGCGUGCCUAAUACAUGCAAGUCGAGCGAACAGACGAGGAGCUUGCUCCUCUGACGUUAGCGGCGGACGGGUGAGUAACACGUGGAUAACCUACCUAUAAGACUGGGAUAACUUCGGGAAACCGGAGCUAAUACCGGAUAAUAUAUUGAACCGCAUGGUUCAAUAUUGAAAGACGGUUUUGCUGUCACUUAUAGAUGGAUCCGCGCCGCAUUAGCUAGUUGGUAAGGUAACGGCUUACCAAGGCAACGAUGCGUGGCCGACCUGAGAGGGUGAUCGGCCACACUGGAACUGAGACACGGUCCAGACUCCUACGGGAGGCAGCAGUAGGGAAUCUUCCGCAAUGGGCGAAAGCUUGACGGAGCAACGCCGCGUGAGUGAUGAAGGUCUUCGGAUCGUAAAACUCUGUUAUUAGGGAAGAACAAAUGUGUAAGUAACUAUGCACGUCUUGACGGUACCUAAUCAGAAAGCCACGGCUAACUACGUG